GUCUAUGGCCAUACCACCCUGAGUGCACCCGAUCGCAUCUGAUCUCAGAAGCUAAGCAGGGUCGGGCCUGGUUAGUACUUGGAUGGGAGAAUCAGUGACCUCCUGCCAUCUCCU
rnacentral:rRNA from 1 species